UUUUAUUCAUUAAUUUUUUUAUUUUUUCUAGAUUCAAAGAAAUAAAUUCUCUUCUUUAUUUACUAAUUUAUCUCAAUCAAUUCAUCAUAACUUAAUUCUUUCUUAUCUUCUCCAAUUCUUUACCUAAGCUACUAUAAAGUUUAGCAAGUACCAUUAUAAAUCAAUUAUUUAUUUCCUUUAACAAUUUAUUUUUUCUAUAUAUUAAUCUUAUUAACUUAAUUUAAACAAAAUAAUAUAAAUCAACAUUUAAUAUAAUUACAACUUCUUUCUUAAACAAAAUUUAACUUUAAUCCUCUCUUAAAACUCAAUUUCAUGGAUAUUUUCUUAUUCAUCAUUUCUCUUGUCUGCUUUUUGCUUUUUCAAUUUUCCAAGUAUCGUCUGCUUGUUUUUUCCCCAUUUUUUUCUAUUUCAAAAUUCAAAUUUAUCUUACAAUUUACUUUAAAAUUUAUAUUAUGUCAAUUUUCAAAAAUCUAACAAUCUACUCCUACAACAUUCCUGGCCUACUUUCAAAAACAACUAUACUUAGGAAACUCCUUGAUCAAUAUGAUAUUAACAUUAUUUUAACACAAGAAUCUCUUAUUACCAAUAAUAUAUAAAAAAAACAAAAAAAAUAAAUAAAUAAAUUACAAAUUACAAAAACUAAUUCUUCUUUCUCUUUACUCCUUAAUCACCCCCCCUCCCCUUUUUUCUAAUACAUAUUCCUAUCUUAUCUUUUAUAAUAAAUAAACAUUAUUUACAAUGUGGAUCCUGGCUUAUCCACGAGUGGUACCCAUCAUCCCACUCAAAUUAAACGGGACCAUGACAGUAGGGUAAAUUACUGUCAACUUUGUGGAUCCUGGCUUAUCCACAAGUGGUACCUGUCAUCCCACUCAAAUUAAACAGGGCCCAGACAGUAGGGUAAAUUUUCUGCCAAACAGUGAAUGCAAAUUCACUGCUCUGGAGACACCCUCUAUGAGGUGGUGGAGUGCCCACUUAAUUGUGGGAUGUCUCCUUAGUGUAUAAUAUGAUAUGGUAAGAUUCAAAUAAAAAGCAACUAUUAUAUCCUGGUGAAAUAUUUUGAGAAGAAAAUCCAAGAAAGCAAGACUCAAAUAAAAAGCAACUAUAAUCCUGAAUACAUCAAUUUUAGCUUCUGAUGAUAUUCCCACUCUUUCUAGAGAGUUGAACCUAUUAUUGAUUCCUCUUCAGAUAACAAACCCUGUCUUAACCUCUCUUAAUGAUUGUACAGAUGCUAAUUAAGCAACUAUUAUGCUGGGUUGAUAUCAAAAAAUAAAUAUCAUUCAAUUAUUAAUUCAGCCCAUAUUUAUUUUGAGAAGAAAAGCAAAGAUCCUACAUUUUUAAAAGCUUGCCUUUUGUCAGAUCCACAAUUGCUCUAUUCUCCAUGCUGAUUAUUUUGUAUAACUCACCAAAAAAUAAGUUAACCCAAUCUUAAUCCCUCAUAUUGUUAUUACAAAACAUGAUGAAUCUAUUAUUAAAGAUAAGCAAAGAAAAAAUGCCUAUUCAACAAAAGCCUUACCCGUUCUAGAGUUACUGGUGGCCAAGAUAAUAAGGAACUUUGAACUCCUCUGGAGUUGCCUCCAAAUGAUAUUUCUAUCACCACUACCACAAUCCCUAUGCCACCUCUGCCUAAUUUUUAACAAAUAUAAGCAUUUAAUUCCACUAUUAUUCACCUCACUUAAUAUAAAUAAUACUUUAUCCGAUUCUCUGAGGAACUUUCAUGAAUAUUUAGAGGGAUGUUCAAACGUGAAUGUGUAGUGCGGCCAAUUUCAUUAACAUUAUUAAUGGGAAAAUAUGCGGUAGUUUUGUCAUGGCCUUUAUAACAAUACUUACGACCGUUUUAUGGUUGAGUUGACAAUGUCGUUCAUUAUUCUAUUUUAGAGGAGGAUACCAAAACUGACACUUUGGCAGAAAUAUCAUUUUGCGUUCUUCUUUUACCAGUAGCCCAAGGCCUCAGCUUUAUCAGGACGCAAUGGAUGUUGUACACUGCUUUGAUGACAUUUUGAACAGUUUGUAGUUAUACAUCAAUUUUAAUUCCAAAAAUGACAACGUGAAAUUGCUGUAAUUUUGAAAACAAAUCAUCAAUAGUUUAAAAGAAAACGUAUUCCCAUUAUCAGUCCGAUGUACGUAUGAUGCGUCUUUUCAUGCUAGUUAUCAAGCCAAGAAGAACAUCUUUUAAAUAUAUAAGAAUAAUACAGGAUAUGUAUAUGGGCGAUACAACAAUGGUCUAUAGCACAACAGGUACUUCAGCAGGCUUCACAAUAGCCGAAGGAGUUCAUCAAGAGUCGGCUCUAGCCCACUUCUCUUCAUUACAGUAAUAGAUAUAUUAGCACAGUCUAUACCUCAAACAGUCCCGUGGAAUAUGAUAUUUGCAGAUGAUAUUGUGAUACUUGCCGAAUCCAAGGAUGAAAUGGAAUAAAUAUUAGUGAGUUAUAAAUAUCCUAGAAAAGCACGGACUAAAAGUAAAUAGAGAAAAGACGGAGUAUAUGGUGAUAGGAGAAACAGAGUAUUGAUAUAAAUGAAUGGCAGGCAAAUAUCGGCAAUUGAAAGCUGCAAAUAUUUGGGCUCCACUAUACAAACAAACGGCACAAUAGAAAAAGAUAUAAAGAGUAAAAUUAAUCAAGGGUGGUUAAAGUGGAGAUCUUUAUCUGGAGUGCUAUUUGACAAAAGAAUCCCACACAAAUUAAAGGGAAAAAUUUACAGUUCCAUAGUACAACCAACUAUUCUAUAUAGUUCGGAAACAUGGCCAACCAAAGAAUCAGACGAGAUAAGUCUACAAACUAUGGAGAUGAGAAUUCUGAGGAUGAUUGCUGGGGUAACAUGAAAGGAUAAAGUGCGCAAUACAAGAAUACUAAGUAGUUUAAAGGUAGUGCCCAUUAAGACUAAGUUAAUGGUAAACAGACUUAAGUGGUAUGGGCACACAAUGAGAAGGCCUAUAACUACCUUGGAAAUAAGGUUGAGAGUUUGGAAGUGAUGGGCAAACGUAAAAGAGGAAGGCCAAAACUUCAAUGGGGCCAUAAAGUUAGAGCCAAUAUAAAGAAGUAUAAAAGAGAUUGUAUGAAUAACAUAAAGUGGAGAGAGAUGUUGAAGGAGCUUACCACCAGAAAAGGUGAAAGCUAAAGAGAGAAAAAAAAUACUUAUUAUAAAUAAUCAAUUAUCAUUUUAUAAGAAAUAAUUAAUAAUUG